rnacentral:lncRNA from 1 species
CCUCUUUUUGCUCUCACUCUUUUUAUCCCCCUCCUUCCCUUUCUUUAUUUCUAGAGAGGAAAUAUGUACUGAGUACAAAUCAUAAACAUAUUUAGUGCGGGAAGACAAUACUUAUGGAACUGAUAGACUGCUGUUCAAGGAAGAGAAAGGAACUACAAAGCCUAAUUAGUGUAAUAGUGUUAGUAAUAGUUAUAUGGUUACUUGCUAUUUUUAUUUAUUAUUAUUAUUAUUAUUUUAAUUUUUUUUAUUCCAGAUAUUUUUUCCACUUAAUUACAUAUUACUGGUCCUCCAUUUUUUUGUGCUUCCAUUCUUUCUUAAUCCUUCUUUGCUAUUUUGCUCCAAAUUCUUAUCUGCCUAGUUGGCUUUGAAUUCCAUAUUUUGUUUUCCAUAGUUUCUUUAAAUUCCAUAAUAAUCUUUUUUUUGUACUUUCCAUUCUUUAUGGCUUUAUCCCUACAGAGCAAGAUAUUACACUUUUUAUCACAUCCAUAAAAAAUCAUCACAUUGGGAAUUACAUUUUUGUAUUUUUUUUGUCCUGUUUGUGAUGCCACAUGUACAUAUGAAUCAUUGUUACAGUCUUUUUUAUCACUAAGAUCAAAGAAAAAAGAUUUCUCAUAGUAUUUAGACGAUAUACGUACUAUAUAAUGUAAUUUUUAAAAAGAAUAAAAAAGGAAAAAUAUGUAUACUACAAAAACUAAUUGCUGCAUAAUCAUAUGGAGUGGCAUUACAGUCAAUAGAAGUUUUGUAGUUAAUGUUAUUUGAAACUCAUAAUUAUAAAGUGACUAUGUUUCUAUUGAUAAAAUUAAUAUCUAAGCAGUAAAAGCAAUUUGCCAAAUAUUGACAAUUUAUUCGUCCAAAAAUUUAUUUGCAUAUGUGGUUUCCAGUCUCAGGAAAUAAUUUUAGUCACUGGUGAUUUUUAAAAUUUAAAACUUUUCUUUUAAUAUAUGUACCUUAAAGGCACAGCAUAGCAUCUCGGUAUUCUUACAUGUUAGUGAUACCUUCCUGCAGGUAUUUAACUUUAUGGAUUUUACCACAUAGAAUAGCAGAAUAGCAUUACCAGUCAGCAUUUUUAUUGCACUUCUACCUGGAAUCUUGUUGCAAGGAAUAAAGGAUCAGAUGCUCUUUGCACUGAAAUGAUGAAUGAUCUUUCAAAGGUUUUUGCUUUGUUUUGUUAGGAAGAAGUCGUACAUAUUUUUUCCUAACUAAAAGCUCAUGAGAACCAAACCAAAGUGUUUGUGUGUAUCCUAAUAUACAUAAACAUUCAGUGUGCUAUUCCUUCUGUAACAAUAUUAAUAUUCACCAGCUGUCUUUCACUUGUAAAUUAGAUUUAUUUGGCUUAUUGUUUCUGUGAAACAUAAUAAAGAAAUUAUCGUAGCUAACAAGUCUUUACUUAACACUCAGUGACCAUUAUUAUUUUUAACAUGAAACCUGUAGAUGUCUUGAUUAAAUAUGUAGACUGAUUUAAGGAAAGGUUAACCCAGGCUGCAUAGUCAGAUGAUCUUGCUCCUGGUUAGGUCUUGCCCUGACAGAAUGAGGCCUACAUCUACCUUUGAAUAAAUAUCUUUUUCAAGCCCAGGUCUCACAAUCUGUUUGUCUCAGUGAUCACUUCCCAAGUCACAGAUGACACAGAUUGCAUGUAAAUCUCUAUUUUCACUUAGUAUGACAUUAUGUUACUGCAAUAAAUGCAAACAGCAGA